GUGAGAGCUAGGGUGUUGGUGACACCAGUAGUUGAGACUUCAGUGCACUUUGUGCCUCAGAAGUGAUCUGCAAAGCUUUUUUGAGUUUGUUCAUUUUUACAGUUUCUCAGGGUUUGUGAAGACCCACUGCUGCUUUUUAUUUAGUUUGUCAAAACCCAUGUCUUCAUGACCAUUAAAACUGAAAAUAGUGUCUCUGACCCUCCCCCCCCCCCGAAAAACACAAAUGAAAGGGAUGUAAAAUCUGCCCUCUGCUGACAUGCAGAAUUGAUGCAAACAGCCUUCCCCUCUCCAUAAUACUCUUUACAUAUAUAUUACUAUAGUGUUUGUUUAAAGUUGUUACAUUGCUUAGGUCUACCUUCCAAUAUAGAAAGCAUGGAGGGGAUAAUGCUUGGAGACUAGAAGGAGCUCUGAUUAGUCAGUGAUUGACAUGUCUGUAGGAUUUAGACUGUCAUUGUUUCACAGAAAAGGAAGUUCAAUAAAUUGCUGAGGCCAGUGGGGUGUGUCCAAAAGGCAAACUUUGAGGAGGCAUAACAGCCAAAUAAAAAAAAAAAGAAAGAAAGAAAGAGGGGUGGUGGUGGAGAGAUACCGACUUGAAAACAUAUGGGAGCUGUUAGAAAUAUUCAUCAAAGUUUUGCAGGUCAACUUUAAUGUGUUAGUCUUGUGUUUUGUUUCAAAGUUUCAUUGAACAAGACAUCACUACUUCUGUAGUCUAGAGAGAAGUGUCUCUUUGAUUGCAGGAAUCUUAAAUCUUGACACAGCAGAGGUUUUUUUGUUAGGAUUCAACUGACCUGCUAUCAUGAUGUCCCAACUGGUCCAGAUGAAUCAAAAUUUUUUCCCAGGGUGGCAGAUGAGAUCAACUGAUGUGAGAAACUGUAGCACCAUAUUUUGGUGUUUACACCCUAUCCACUAUUGUAAUAAAGUUUGUAUAAGGUAUGCCUUGAAAGGGUCAUUUGAAAACUCAUAAUUUGCUGGUCUGUAUUGUCCUGGUAAAAUAAGUUGCAACAUUGUAUGUGAAGUUAUAAAAAUCCCUUUUAGAGUGUACAUGUUUCAAACACCACAUCCCUGCCCAUGCCGAAGCUGACAAACAGAUCUGUCCUAAACAAAGGAAUGUGUGCUCCUCUUAAUUUGCAUUUAAGUAGUAAAAAGAGUCAUCAAGCAGGAAAGAAAGACAAAGGAAGUUCAAACAUGUUUAAAACCAGCAGGGAACAUCCUUCCACAUAGAUUCUUUCUUUGUUUCCUGGAAAUGUUUUCAAGAGGGGGACUGAGGCUAUGUCUAUACUGCAGAGUUUUGUCGCCAAAAGUUGUGCCGUUUUAAUUAAAGUGCUUUAAU